UUUCACCCGGAGGCUAGAGUAGGGUGGUUGUAUGCCGUAUUUUCGAGAGUUUUGUGCGCUGUUCCCUUGGUGUAUCGCUGGCAAUACUACGGAAGGCGGUGAAGGAGUGGCAGCUGUGUCCGGAGGAGGUGAAGCACUACUGUAUUGUCUGCAUAUGGUGAGGCAGUUUCCGGCAGAUAGUUAGGCUGUUUGAAAGAGGCACCCGUCACUGUUCGCCUCUUGGAACUCUAACAAUCAACAGCUCGUUAAAGUGAUGGUGGUAGUGAUGGUGAUGAUGAGGAAGAAGAAGGAGAAGAAAUGGAAAUAAUGAAGAGAAGAAUGGAAAGGAAAGCAACAGCCACAACAAGAAAAGAAAAGGAAAAGAAGAGAUGAAGGAAAGUAAUAAGGAGAGAAAUAUAGGAAGACAAAGAAUAACAACAACAACAACAACAACAACAACAACAACAACUACUACUACUACUACUACUACUACUACUACUACUACUACUACUACUACUACUACUACUACUACUACUACUACUACUACUACUACUACUACUACAAAAUGAACCCCAAACUCAACCAACACAACAAACAGCACAACACACACAAAACAAUUCACACAAACACAUCAAUUCACCAUUUACUCAUCCACUCACUCAUCCUACAUUAAAAACCCACCAAUGAAUAAAAAAUAAAUAAAAUAAAUAAAUAAAUAAAACAAAUACUCUCCAAUUUGACCCAAGGCGAAGAUCAAUGACGAGACAUUUAGCAUUAUUCAUUUAUUGAGAUUCAUUCACUCAUCCCCCUUAUGUGUAUUCAUAUUUGUAUCCUCUUGUUGAAGAAUGCAAUAGGCAGGAAAAUAAAUGCAAUGAAAUCACCCUCUCUCAUAUGUAUUUUUGUUGAGCUGAAUGCAUUACCAAAUUACUGUGUCUGUUAAGAGAGAGAGAGAGGGAGAGAGAGAGGGAGAGGGUAAGAAAAACAGUGCUAUUGUGUUCUCUUUCUUUAACGUUAUUUUUAGCACGUGUUUUUAGGGUGGUUUUCAUUUUUAUUUCACUUUUGUGUCUUGUUUUGAUUGUGACGAUGCUGGUGAUUGGAAAGGGGAGGAUAAUGAUGCUACGAAGAAAUAGGAGGAAGGUGAUGAUAAUUGUGAUUGCGAUGAUGAUGAUGAUGAUGAUGAUGAUGAAGAGGAGGAGGAGGAGGAGGAAAAUAAUGUUGAUGAUAAGUAAGAGGAAGAGAAGAGGAGGAGGAGGACAAAGAAGAAGAGAAAAGAAAAAGAAGAAAAUGAGGAGAAAAUUUCGUGCUUGUUAUUAUAAUGGUACACACACACACACACACACACACACACACACACACACACACACACACACACACACACACACACACACACACACACACACACACACACACACACACACACACGAAAACAA